rnacentral:rRNA from 1 species
GAUGAACGCUGGCGGCGUGCCUAAUACAUGCAAGUCGAGCGAACAGACGAGGAGCUUGCUCCUCUGACGUUAGCGGCGGACGGGUGAGUAACACGUGGAUAACCUACCUAUAAGACUGGGAUAACUUCGGGAAACCGGAGCUAAUACCGGAUAAUAUAUUGAACCGCAUGGUUCAAUAGUGAAAGACGGUUUUGCUGUCACUUAUAGAUGGAUCCGCGCCGCAUUAGCUAGUUGGUAAGGUAACGGCUUACCAAGGCAACGAUGCGUAGCCGACCUGAGAGGGUGAACGGCCACAAUGGAACUGAGACACGGUCCAGACUCCUACGGGAGGCAGCAGUAGGGAAUCUUCCGCAAUGGGCGAAAGCCUGACGGAGCAACGCCGCGUGAGUGAUGAAGGUCUUCGGAUCGUAAAACUCUGUUAUUAGGGAAGAACAAAUGUGUAAGUAACUAUGCACGUCUUGACGGUACCUAAUCAGAAAGCCACGGCUAACUACGUG